rnacentral:rRNA from 1 species
AACGAACGCUGGCGGCAUGCCUAACACAUGCAAGUCGAACGAGACCUUCGGGUCUAGUGGCGCUCGGGUGCGUAACGCGUGGGAACCUGCCCUUAGGUUCGGAAUAACUCCCCGAAAGGGGUGCUAAUACCGGAUAAUGUCUUCGGACCAAAGAUUUAUCGCCUUUGGAUGGGCCCGCGUUGGAUUAGCUAGUUGGUAGGGUAAAAGCCUACCAAGGCGACGAUCCAUAGCUGGUCUGAGAGGAUGAUCAGCCACACUGGGGCUGAGACACGGCCCAGACUCCUACGGGAGGCAGCAGUGGGGAAUAUUGGACAAUGGGCGAAAGCCUGAUCCAGCAAUGCCGCGUGAGUGAUGAAGGCCUUAGGGUUGUAAAGCUCUUUUACCCGGGAUGAUAAUGACAGUACCGGGAGAAUAAGCUCCGGCUAACUCCGUG